rnacentral:rRNA from 1 species
UACGUAGGGUGCAAGCGUUGUCCGGAAUUAUUGGGCGUAAAGAGCUCGUAGGCGGUCUGUCGCGUCGGAUGUGAAAACCCGGGGCUCAACCCCGGGCCUGCAUUCGAUACGGGCAGACUAGAGUUCGGUAGGGGAGUCUGGAAUUCCUGGUGUAGCGGUGAAAUGCGCAGAUAUCAGGAGGAACACCGGUGGCGAAGGCGGAUCUCUGGGCCGUACCUGACGCUGAGGAGCGAAAGCAUGGGGAGCAAACAGG